rnacentral:rRNA from 1 species
UACGCAGGGGGCGAGCGUUGUUCGGAUUUACUGGGCGUAAAGGGCGCGCAGGCGGCACAUUUUGUCAGGCGUGAAAGCCCCGGGCUUAACCUGGGAACUGCGUUUGAUACGGAUGGGCUAGAGUUCGGGAGAGGAGAGUGGAAUUCCCAGUGUAGAGGUGAAAUUCGUAGAUAUCAGGAGGAACACCAAUGGCGAAGGCAGCACUCUGGGACGUGACUGACGCUGAGACGCGAAAGCGUGGGGAGCAAACAGG